rnacentral:ncRNA from 2 species
AAUCACUGCAGGAGGUGGUUCACAUUUCAAACCUGAGAAUUAUACUCCCACCACCUGAUCAAGGUAAUGCUUGCGAAGGGAAGCAGUGAACAGAUAAG